GACGAACGCUGGCGGCGUGCUUAACACAUGCAAGUCGAACGGAAAGGCCCUGCUUUUGUGGGGUGCUCGAUUGGCGAACGGGUGAGUAACACGUGAGUAACCUGCCCUUGACUUUGGGAUAACUUCAGGAAACUGGGGCUAAUACCGGAUAGGAGCUCCUGCUGCAUGGUGGGCGUUGGAAAGUUUCGGCGGUUGGGGAUGGACUCGCGGCUUAUCAGCUUGUUGGUGGGGUAGUGGCUUACCAAGGCUUUGACGGGUAGCCGGCCUGAGAGGGUGACCGGCCACAGUGGGACUGAGAUACGGCGCAGACUCGUACGGGAGGCAGCAGUGGGGAAUAUUGCACAAUGGGGGGAAGCCAGAUGCAGCAACGCCGCGUGCGGGAUGACGGCCUUCGGGUUGUAAACCGCUUUCGCCUGUGACGAAGCGUGAGUGACGGUAAUGGGUAAAGAAGCACCGGCUAACUACGUG
rnacentral:rRNA from 1 species